rnacentral:lncRNA from 1 species
ACUCUCUUCCCAAGUAGGAGAAAAGGGACGCUGAGCGAAACGGACUCAAGAGAGAGCCCUUGGCUAGCGGACAGGGCUAGGAGCAAAGCGGUUGCCCCCGGAAGGGGAACUCUACCCUCUGAGCUUAGAGUGCCCACACUUGGAUUGAUCUCUAAUAAUAAAGUAAACAAAGCUAAUACUUAGUGUUUACCACGUGCUCAUUCCUGGCCCAGAGCAGCUCUUUGAGCAUCAUUAGGUUUUAGAGACUGACAGAGUUUGGAUUUGAACCCACUUGCACAGUCUCUGCUCCAUUUCGCUCCCGCUUUGCCGGUUUAGUCAGCAGGGUCAAAGGAACCUAAGAAAACCAGGGCAGGGCCCAUAGACAAGCAGACCAGGGGAUGGGGCCGGCAGCGCUUGUCCUCGCUUCACGAUCUUCAGCACAUGCAUUCCAUGCCCGGACACUCAGUACCUGCCAGGCUCUGAUCUGCGACCAAGGACACCCAGAUAAGGAGAAGUUGCAAAGCCCUUAGAACAACGCCUGGAAGGUCGUUCGUGUCACGGAGCUGUGUGCUUUGCUGCUCACCACACACCGUCAACCUGUGGAGCUGCUUGAGGGGCGAGAGAGACCCAGAGGAACAAGAUCAGUUCCCGGCUAAGUGCAAGGGAGCGCAGCAGGUCACCCACCCUUCGACUUCAGCAAGGCCCAGGGCUGUGAGAGCACAGGGACUUCCGGAGGCUGCACUUGGACCAGCCCAGCUUUAG